GUGACAACGCAAAAGAACCCUACUGACAGAUGAUGAUGCGCUAGUUUGAUAAAGAUUCACCUCAGAGAGGGAGAGGAACACUGCAAAACAUGAAAAAGCAAGGAUUCUUCUACAAUAAUACAUUAUGUUAAAGCACCAUGGAGGCCAUUUAGCAUUUUAUAACUCACAGAUUCUUGUGUCUCGAGGGAAAACGCAGGGACACGGGAGGACUGUAUAAACCGCCGACGUCACCGUGGACGACGACCGCAACCGCGACAACGCCAGCGUCCGCUCCCUCAGACGUCCGCCUCGACCGCGUCCGCCUCCUGAACUGUCAAGCCACCGCUGCCCUCCUCACUCCGCUUUCACACACACACACACACACACACAC